GUGCCCACUUCGGUGGCACAGACACUAAAACUGGAACGAUACAGAGAUACGCAUGUCCCCUGCACAUGAAUGACGUAGAUUCAUGAAGCAUUCCACAGUUAG